GUUUACAUAGCUUAUUUACUAAGAGUAUAUCAGUGAAGUUGAUAGGGAAACUUUAUGUUUGUGAAUA
rnacentral:tRNA from 1 species